CGCAAAAAGUUCUGAAUGGAGAACGGCCUUUAGUCACUAAGUUAGUGUGUUUUAUUUUAAAUUAUUUAUUUCAAGCAAAUCUCAAUGACACUUUACAAAACAUGAAUGGGUUUGUGUUGAUUUAUGAUUGACAACAGAAAAUGCAUUACUUUAACAAAUGUUAGUUUUUUACACGUUAGUUAUAUAAUCUUCUAUGAAAUGGUUCAUCUAAAUCUAAUUACCUGCAGGAUGCCUGUUAAAAAGAAAAACUGAAGAAACUUUAAAACUAGAUGAUGCCAACUAAAGAAGUUGGAACACUUUUAUUCAUGGGGUCAUAUCGUGGCUUCAGUUCUCCAGUAUUUAUUUUUUUAUUUUACUAUAUAUGUUAUGUUUAUUUUAUUUUUUAUUGUUGUUAUUUUUGUAACGACAACCCGGUGAGAAAUGAGCUAGCGACUAGCUAGCUUUAUAGCGAUUUUCUUAUUUUAUUCUUUACUUAUGUCUCUAAUAUUUUUAAAAAUUCGAUUUUUAGUGUUUAGUCUAUUAGAAUUAUGACAAUAAUUAAACUUUACACAUUUUGAUUUUGGAGCAAUGUGUUGCUAGCUACAUAUCGUAGCUUUGUAGCUAGCUACAAAAUAUCUAUAAAUCUAUAGCUGGUUGAUACUACAUACUAAAAUUUUUUUUGAUAGCAAUUUUAUUACGAUAUAACGGAUGCUACAAUAGCCUGUGAGUCUUUAGCUUAUUAAGCUAGCUGUUUUCGUAGCCAAAUCGCUAUCUUUACCUUUACAAAUAUUGAUAGCUUUUCGCUAACUUAAAAAAGCUAGCGAUCCUCGUGGCCAAAUCGCUGUCUUUAUCAUAAUGAUUAUAGCUAGCUAUUCGCUAGCCGAUUUCCCACUGGGAGACUAUGUGAAUAAUUAAUUGUCCUGCUCUGGGCCUCUACUUCAGUAUGGCUAACACGUAUAUCGAUUUACAUAUUGUAUUGAGUUAGCUUGUGAUUUGUACGUGUGUUUUUGUUUCCCUGGUGUUUGUUAGUUAUAUGCAAGAUAUGGCAUGGUAUGGCACACUGCAUGGUAUGCCCUAAAUAAUAUUAUCAAUAAAUAUUUUUAUCUAUACUUUGUAAAUAUAUAUGCUAUAAUUUAUUAUAUUAAUCAAAUGUUUAUUUUUAAUUUAUAAAAUUAGUGUAAAAGUAAAUGAAAGUAAUAAAGAAAACGAUAGCGGUAAACUUUGAAGCAGAAUUUUGUCAUGCGAAUAUGGUGGCAAUAUGAGAGAACUACUGUGGCAGAAUAUUACUAUCGGAGAAAAGUUUUGCAUUAAAUCAUUGUAUAAUAUUAGUUUUUUCUUGCUUAAAAAUAUUAUGAAAUUCAAA